rnacentral:misc_RNA from 1 species
AACCUAGCACACCUGCGGUGUGUACCUGCGGAAGGAUCAUUACCGAGUUUACAACUCCCAAACCCCUGUGAACAUACCUAUACGUUGCCUCGGCGGAUCAGCCCGCGCCCCGUAAAAAGGGACGGCCCGCCCGAGGACCCCUAAACUCUGUUUUUAGUGGAACUUCUGAGUAAAACAAACAAAUAAAUCAAAACUUUUAGCAACGGAUCU